GGAUGAAGAACGCAGCGAAAUGCGAUACGUAAUGUGAAUUGCAGAAUUCCGCGAAUCAUCGAAUCUUUGAACGCACAUUGCACCCGGUGGUAUUCCGCCGGGUAUGCCUGUCUGAGCGUCAUUUCUACCCUCGAGCACUGCUCGGUGUUGGCGGAUUGCCUAGCAACCGCUGAAAAUCAACGGCGGUGACCCCUAUGUCCCUGUAUAGUAUUAUUCUUACAGUGGUUAUAGCGGUCUACCAGUCUACUGUGCGCCGUAACAAGCGCUACACUUUGAAACUCGACCUCAGAUCAGGUAGGAAUACCCGCUGAACUUAAGCAUAUCAAUAAGCGGAGGA
rnacentral:misc_RNA from 1 species